CCAACUGUGCCACAUUUUAUGUUACGCUUAUGCACCAAUUUUACUAUAAACUUAAAUUACGCAUCUCCACUUACAACAUUUUCCAGAUUUGCAGUUUCCAAACAUAAUCCACCGUCUUUAGUCGCCUAUUGGACAAAGACGUUAAUAAAAUAUAUUUUCCAUUGCAUGAGGUCUAGGCACAUAAAUGUGAUAAAUUGUUUCGUUUAAGGCAACAUUAAAUGUGUAUACAGUAACAAAACGGGGUUACUCACAAAAUAUUUCAUGUAACUCAUUGCAGGUACCAUAUUUACAAGUCUUCGGAGGCUUCUACUAAGAGUAUUGAGGUUCCUGCGAUGCCGCAGAGAUGAGAAUUUUGAAAUACAACUUUCAGUGCAAGAAACAUCACCACUAUACUCUGGCCAGAGCUCUGUCCGUCCAUGGUUUGAUGAUUAUGGAGAAGAUAAUGGCUACAUCCAUUUAGAUGACCAUUAUCGAGAAAAUGAUGACCAACCAAAUUGUAGAAUUGUUUGAUUUAAAAUCUUUUUUGAAGCACGCCAGCAUGAUGCAAGUCUGCACUUUUGUGAAAGAAACGAAUGACAAUUUAAAGUGAGAGCUGACAUUCAUCAUACAGGAAAGGGAUUUGAAGUCAUUUAAGUGUUUUACUCAUAAAAAUAAUGUGAUAUCAUGGUUCUGUAUACUGAAAAUAAUGCACUUAAAUUGUACACGUUUGUGUACUUUGCACUGUGUAUACAUACUACUGAUAUGGUAUCUUGUAAUAUCGAUGUCUUUGAUAUAUUUCAAUUACGUUUUAGAGCGAGUUAUAAACUGAUAUCAAUGUUUUUUUUCUUAAUAUAAUUAAAUUGAACGUGAGGAUUGAAAUUUAGUAACACCCUUUUCUUACAGGUUUAAAAAUGUCAUGAUUCAUCAUUUAUUUUAUGUAAAGUUCCUUAAUUUAUUUUGGUACCGUUUUUAUUUUCCAGUUCCUGAAUUGCUAGCAAUUGCGUAAAUGCGGAUCAAUUCGAAAGCAAUGACAACAUAAAUGCAUUUUAUUCCUCUGGUACAUGUAUACUGAUAAACUCUAUGGGGAGAUUUUCCAGACAGGGCUUAUCCUAGUUCCAAACUAGAAUGCAUAUUUGAGCUGCUUUAAUUAAAAAUAUCUUGCACUGACAUAUCUGAGCAUCAGUACCAUUGUUUUGUCUCAAUAUGCACACCAGUAAUGUUUUUGUAAGGUUUGCUGCUUAAAGACAACUGUACCUUUUGUCUGAACCUUGAGUAUUCUUUUAAACGUUUUUAGAUACAUUUAAUGAUGUUGAAUG